UGAGAUGAUAUCUCAUUGUGGUUUUGAUUUGCAUUUCUCUAAUAAUGAGCAAUGUUGAACAUCUUUUCAUGUGUUUAUUAGCCAUCUGUAUGUCUUUGAAGAAAUGUCUGUUUAGGCCUUCUGCCCACUGUUUGAUUGGGUUGUUAUUGUGAUGUUGAGC